GAUAACAUUGUUUGUGCGGAGAAGGGAGGCUGGUAUGCAUGGGCAACUGCUGGUCUUCCAUAAAAACAACCCUAGGUUGUGCGUUCGCCGGUGAGGCAACUUUCUGCCCAGACUUGUACCCCUGAGGGGAACCUCUUAGGUGCACCCAUGGUCAUUUGUGACCGACGGAGUCGAGUGUAAGUGUGUGUGUGUGUGUGUGUCCACCACCGCUUGACAACUGGUUUUAGUUUGUUUACAUCCCCAUAACUUAGCGGUCCGGACAAAGUAACCGAUAAAAUGAGUACAGUAAUCACUCGCCAUAUCGCGGUUCACCUAUCGUGCAUUCAGUACAUCACGGAAUUUUCUGGCUAAUAUAUGUAAAUUUAUAUCGCGGACUCCUCAGUAUAUCGCGGGAUUCUGUGAUCGAUAGAAGAUCAACGUUACCAUUCGAAAUUUUCCUCACCCACCAACCAACCCUCACUCAGUGUUUGAGCAAAAAUCUAUCAAGAUCAUUGCAGACCAAAUGUGAAACUCCAUUGAUUUGAUCUAAGGAUGUUUGGCGACAUGAAGGACAUCCGGCAGUGAAAAAAUUGCCUCAGCGAAUCCCGCCUGGCACAUAACAUACAAGCGUAGAAAAGUGGACGUUGAAACGACGACGACGACGAUGAUGAUGAUGAUGAUGAUGAUGAUGAUGAUGAUGAUGAUGAUGAUGAUGAUGAUGAUAUAUUAUAAAAUUCAUUUUGGUUGGGUCUUUAAGUUUCUCCAAACAGCUUAUUUAUUCAACCAUUGAUGAUGUGUCUUUCUGCUAUUUAUAUUAGAAGA